GGGGGGGAGGAGAACGAGGCAGCCAAACCGGAGACGGCGGAGACGAACCGCCGGCCCCUCCUCGCCAACCGCCGGACGGGAGAUCGCCCGGCGACGCGCCACCGCGAGCCGGCGGCCAUCCUGGUUACUGGAGAUUACUACUUCCUAUUUGCUCAUUGGCAUAUCAUUAGUAGAUGGGGACUACUUCUCAUUGGUUUUGCUUCCUCGGUACGAAGGCGGAUAAUUAUGAUUGAGAGAGAGAAAAAAAUAAAAGGACAUCACACUGAAACAGUGAAGUAUAUUGUGCUCGAGAUCCAAUAAAAUAUCCAGGAACUCAGGGUGUCCCUGCUUUGGUAACAUCAUCAGAGUUUGCAGAAAGCACAAACAAAUCAAUGGUAACGGAGGCUGCAGAUCGCAUGCAAGACGGUUAUAGUUGCAUAAAGCAGAAACAAACAAAAAGCAUGCCAAGCACCAAGCGUUACACACCGAGAAAGUGGAUGCCAAGGCCCCAUUUUGCACCCCUCGCGCAUGAUUGUGCAUGCAAAUGCAAAGCGAGAAGAGCAAAUCACCAUGGAAGAAAGAAAGAAACAAAGAGAAAAAAGCAAAAGUGACGGGACUAAGAGCAUCACCUCGGUGCGGUCGUGUGGAAGCAGUGAUUGAUCAGAUGAUGCCGCUCGCUGCUGGGGAGUUUGGAGACGAGAGGCGAAGCAGAAGGCUAAACCGCUAAAAACCUAAGCUACGAGAACAAGGUCGGUCGCUUGUGGGGGGCAGAAAGGCAAAAACAAGAGGGCAAAAAGGGUGAGCAAGGAACAACAGAGGGGAGCAGUGGUGCACUCCUGCUGGUAUUGAUGGACUGAUAGACCAUGUCACCAAUGAACCGUGGUCCAGGCUGGGCAAGUUGUGGUAAUACCUUUUUCAGAGAACACAGGAGAUCGGGAGGCAUCUUUUGAAUAAACCAAGACGAGAGAUCGGAGCAGACAACCGGUGAAUACUGAUCAACUUCUGCCUCUUUACAGCUGAUGACUGGUAUAUAUAACCACACAGUACAGAAUACAAACUGGUAUGCACAGUUUAAAUACCUGAAAAAAUUUAAAACUUUCGCAGUUUCUAAUUGACGAAUGCUGGAAAUGACGGUCUUGUGCUCUCGAGGCUUUUAAAACGCUUUCUGUUUCAAUCCUGAGAAAAAAAACUUCAUUGCACGUAUGGAUGGCGUACGUAUGAAAUCAUGUUUUCACCGGUGUAAUGAUUCCCUGUGACACGGUAGCAGUAGCGACCUCCAACUGUCAUGGCCAUCCAUUUCAACGGAUGCUAUGGAGGAGUCGUCGUCCCAGCUUGCUUCGCAGUUUGCAAGCGGCUGGAGCUGCCCAUGCAUGGAGACAGGCAAUUAAGAUUCCAGGGGAGUACGAGCGUACAACCAUGAUCACCAAUUAAAAGCAAAGCCAUCAUUUGGAUUCCCAGUUCUUGUGCUCAUGCCAACCUCACCUCUUUUUUUUUCUUCUUCUUUUUGCUCCCCGGAGAGAUCUUUACCGAUCCCGCCGCCCACUAGGUAGAAUCUACUGCUGGUACACAAUGUUUAGCGAUCAUGAUCAUGGAAAUGAAAGGCAAAUCUUACUCGAAGUGGCUAAUGUUGUCAGCGUGUUUCUCCCCCUUUCUUUUAUCUUUAAGGGGAAAAAGCUUCAUGCGUUGCAAAGAAAGAUUCCCUGGAAAUGAAAAUUGUUCUA